rnacentral:rRNA from 1 species
UACGGGGGGGGCAAGCGUUGUUCGGAAUUACUGGGCGUAAAGGGCUUGUAGGCGGCCAACUAAGUCCGACGUGAAAUCCCCAGGCUUAACCUGGGAACUGCGUCGGAUACUGGAUGGCUUGAAUUCGGGAGAGGGAUGCAGAAUUCCAGGUGUAGCGGUGAAAUGCGUAGAUAUCUGGAGGAAUACCGGUGGCGAAGGCGGCAUCCUGGACUGCAACUGACACUGAGGAACGAAAGCCAGGGGAGCAAACGGG